rnacentral:rRNA from 1 species
AUCCUGGCUCAGAUUGAACGCUGGCGGCAGGCCUAACACAUGCAAGUCGAGCGGAAACGAUCCUAGCUUGCUAGGAGGCGUCGAGCGGCGGACGGGUGAGUAAUGCAUAGGAAUCUGCCCGGUAGUGGGGGAUAACUUGAGGAAACUCAAGCUAAUACCGCAUACGCCCCAAGGGGGAAAGCAGGGGAUCUUCGGACCUUGCGCUAUCGGAUGAGCCUAUGUCGGAUUAGCUAGUUGGUGAGGUAAUGGCUCACCAAGGCCGCGAUCCGUAGCUGGUCUGAGAGGAUGAUCAGCCACAUCGGGACUGAGACACGGCCCGAACUCCUACGGGAGGCAGCAGUGGGGAAUAUUGGACAAUGGGCGAAAGCCUGAUCCAGCCAUGCCGCGUGUGUGAAGAAGGCCUUCGGGUUGUAAAGCACUUUCAGCGAGGAAGAACGCUUGUGGGUUAAUACCCCGCAAGAAGGACAUCACUCGCAGAA